CGGUUCGAGUCCGCUUACCUCCACUGAUCCACCUUCUCAUAGCGAAUUAUUGGAGAUUGAGUCUUCUGCUGAUGUGAUUUAGACGUUUUACUUGAUAAGAACCUAGCUUCCUGUCUUUGAUCUUCAACUUAAUUUUUAGAUUUUGUUUUUUUGAUAGGACGCUGGGCUCACUUCAAUUUGUAUUAAUUGAAGAGACGUUCAGUA
rnacentral:misc_RNA from 1 species